rnacentral:tRNA from 1 species
GGAAAGAUGCGAGAGCGGUCGAAUCGGGCGGUCUCGAAAACCGUUGACCUGAAUAGUUCCGGGGGUUCGAAUCCCCCUCUUUCCG